AGUGAACGCUGGCGGUAGGCCUAACACAUGCAAGUCGAACGGCAGCACAGUAAGAGCUUGCUCUUACGGGUGGCGAGUGGCGGACGGGUGAGGAAUACAUCGGAAUCUACUUUUUCGUGGGGGAUAACGUAGGGAAACUUACGCUAAUACCGCAUACGACCUACGGGUGAAAGCAGGGGAUCUUCGGACCUUGCGCGAUUGAAUGAGCCGAUGUCGGAUUAGCUAGUUGGCGGGGUAAAGGCCCACCAAGGCGACGAUCCGUAGCCGGUCUGAGAGGAUGAUCAGCCACACUGGAACUGAGACACGGUCCAGACUCCUGCGGGAGGCAGCAGUGGGGAAUAUUGGACAAUGGGCGCAAGCCUGAUCCAGCCAUACCGCGUGGGUGAAGAAGGCCUUCGGGUUGUAAAGCCCUUUUGUUGGGAAAGAAAAGCAGCAGGUUAAUACCCCGCUGUUCUGACGGUACCCAAAGAAUAAGCACCGGCUAACUUCGUG
rnacentral:rRNA from 1 species